UACGUAGGGGGCAAGCGUUAUCCGGAUUUACUGGGUGUAAAGGGAGCGUAGACGGCAGAGCAAGUCUGAAGUGAAAGCCCGCGGCCCAACUGCGGGACUGCUUUGGGAACUGCCCGGCUAGAGUGCUGGAGAGGUAAGCGGAAUUCCUAGUGUAGCGGUGAAAUGCGUAGAUAUUAGGAGGAACACCAGUGGCGAAGGCGGCUUACUGGACAGUAACUGACGUUGAGGCUCGAAAGCGUGGGGAGCAAACAGG
rnacentral:rRNA from 1 species